rnacentral:rRNA from 1 species
UACGGGGGGUGCGAGCGUUGUCCGGAAUCACUGGGCGUAAAGGGCGCGUAGGUGGUCUGAUAAGGGUGUGGUGAAAGCCCGGGGCUCAACCCCGGGUCGGCCGUGCCGACUGUUAGACUAGAGUACUGUAGGGGCAGGCGGAAUUCCGGGUGUAGCGGUGGAAUGCGUAGAGAUCCGGAGGAAGACCGGUGGCGAAGGCGGCCUGCUGGGCAGUUACUGACACUGAGGCGCGACAGCGUGGGGAGCAAACAGGG